AGUGAACGCUGGCGGUAGGCCUAACACAUGCGAGUCGAACGGCAGCACAGUAAGAGCUUGCUCUUACGGGAGGCGAGUGGCGGACGGGUGAGGAAUACAUCGGAAUCUACUUUUUCGUGGGGGAUAACGUAGGGAAACUUACGCUAAUACCGCAUACGACCUACGGGUGAAAGCAGGGGAUCUUCGGACCUUGCGCGAUUGAAUGAGCCGAUGUCGGAUUAGCUAGUUGGCGGGGUAAAGGCCCACCAAGGCGACGAUCCGUAGCUAGUCUGAGAGGAUGAUCAGCCACACUGGAACUGAGACACGGUCCAGACUCCUACGGGAGGCAGCAGUGGGGAAUAUUGGACAAUGGGCGCAAGCCUGAUCCAGCCAUACCGCGUGGGUGAAGAAGGCCUUCGGGUUGUAAAGCCCUUUUGUUGGGAAAGAAAAGCAGCAGGUUAAUACCCCGCUGUUCUGACGGUACCCAAAGAAUAAGCACCGGCUAACUUCGUG
rnacentral:rRNA from 1 species